CACCACUCAAGCCUGGCUUGGUAUUGGGCGGCGGGGAUCCCCCGCGCCCCUAAUUCAUCGGCUGGACGGUUCGAAUCUCAGCGUUGUGGUUUACUCAAAUCGCUGGCGAAGACGACCGGACGCGCCGUUAAAAUUCAUUACA
rnacentral:misc_RNA from 1 species